rnacentral:rRNA from 1 species
GAUGAACGCUGGCGGCGUGCCUAAUACAUGCAAGUCGAGCGAACGGACGAGAAGCUUGCUUCUCUGAUGUUAGCGGCGGACGGGUGAGUAACACGUUGAUAACCUACCUAUAAGACUGGGAUAACUUCGGGAAACCGGAGCUAAUACCGGAUAAUAUUUUGAACCGCAUGGUUCAAAAGUGAAAGACGGUCUUUCUGUCACUUAUAGAUGGAUCCUCGCUGCAUUAGCUAGUUGGUAAGGUAACGGCUUACCAAGGCAACGAUGCAUAGCCGACAUGAGAGGGUGAUCGGCCACACUGGAAAGGAGACACGGUACAGACUCCUACGGGAGGAAGCAGUAGGGAAUAUUCCGCAAUGGGCGAAAGCAUGACGGAGCAACGCCGCGUGAGUGAUGAAGGUCUUCGGAUCGUAAAACUCUGUUAUUAGGGAAGAACAUAUGUGUAAGUAACUGUGCACAUCUUGACGGUACCUAAUCAGAAAGCAACGGCUAACUACGUG